ACAACCAUAUCACAUUGAAACACCACUUCUCAUAUGAUCACCAAAAUUAAGCAACACCGAACCUGGUCAGUACAUAGAUGGGUGACCGCUUGGAAAUACCAGGUACUGUAAG